GUUUAGGGAUAUAUAUAUAUAUAUAUAUAUAUAUAUAUAUAUAUAUAUAUAUAUAUAUAUAUAUAUAUAUAUAUAUAUAUAUAUAUAUACAUAUGGAUGUCUCGGUACACCCACACACAGGUGUGCAGCGUUUGACUCGUCCCUUCUGCCGACAAUGCGCUCCUGGUCUUAACUGUACGUGUCCAGCCGCCGACGCUGUUACUUUGAAGAAUUAUAGUGCUCAAAGCAAGCCUACGCUCUGGAUAUCUUAACAUGGGAUAUCUGUAUAGGAAUUCGGUCCUAUCACGAUGUCCUUCACGAUCGGAGUAAUGAUAUACAGGUACAGUCUGGGGCGUUCGAAUUUCU
rnacentral:ncRNA from 1 species